rnacentral:rRNA from 1 species
AUAUAUGGCCAUAUCAAAUUGAAUAUACUGGUUCUCAUCUGAUCAAUGAAGUUAAGUAACAUCAACCCUAGUGAGUACUUAGGUGUGGACCAUGUGGGAAACCUAGGUGCUGUAAGCA